rnacentral:rRNA from 1 species
AUACGGAGGAUCCGAGCGUUAUCCGGAUUUAUUGGGUUUAAAGGGAGCGUAGGUGGACAGUUAAGUCAGUUGUGGAAGUUUGCGGCUCAACCGUAAAAUUGCAGUUGAAACUGGCAGUCUUGAGUACAGUAGAGGUGGGCGGAAUUCGUGGUGUAGCGGUGAAGUGCUUAGAUAUCACGAAGAACUCCGAUUGCGAAGGCAGCUCACUAGACUGUUACUGACACUGAUGCUCGAAAGUGUGGGUAUCAAACAGGAUUAGAUACCCUGGUAGUCCACACAGUAAACGAUGAAUACUCGCUGUUUGCGAUAUACAGUAAGCGGCCAAGCGAAAGCAUUAAGUAUUCCACCUGGGGAGUACGCCGGCAACGGUGAAACUCAAAUGAAUUGGCGGGG